AUUGAACGCUGGCGGCAGGCCUAACACAUGCAAGUCGAGCGGAGCGGCGGACGGGGGAGUAAUGCCUAGGAAUCUGCCUGGUCGUGGGGGAUAACGUCCGGAAACGGGCGCUAAUACCGCAUACUAUCAGAUGAGCCUAGGUCGGAUUAGCUAGUUGGUGGGGUAAGGGCUUACCUAGGCGACGAUCCGUAACUGGUCUGAGAGGAUGAUCAGUCACACGGGAACUGAGACCGGGUCCAGACUCCUACGGGAGGCAGCAGUGGGGAAUAUUGCACAAUGGGCGAAAGGCUGAUCCAGCCAUGCCGAGUGUGUGAAGAAGGUCUUCGGAUGGUAAAGCACUUUAAGUUGGGAGGCGGUACCAACAGAAUAAGCACCGGCUAACUUCGUGCCAGCAGCCGCGGUAAUUC
rnacentral:rRNA from 1 species